UACGUAGGUGGCAAGCGUUGUCCGGAUUUACUGGGCGUAAAGGGCGUGCAGGCGGUUUGUUAAGUGCAGGGUGAAAAGCUCCCGGCUCAACUGGGAGAGGUCCUUGCAUACUGGCAAACUCGAGGGAGGCAGAGGAAAGUGGAAUUCCCGGUGUAGUGGUGAUAUGCGUAGAUAUCGGGAGGAACACCAAUGGCGAAGGCAGCUCGCUGG
rnacentral:rRNA from 1 species